GAAUUCAAGAUAUUUGUUUUAUUCAGAAGAGUUUCCUUUACCCGAGGUUUCAUGCUGGAUCUCAUCAUGUUCCCUAUACGUCAGUUUACUCCUGAGGUAUGCACUACAUAUUGUAUGAUGUGCCGCUUUCUUUUUUUCAUUCAUAAUUGGAAUACAAAACAUGUUCAUUUCUUGGUGAUAUUAUUGAAGAUACAGUGAGGGUUACAAUCUCACCAGUUGCAACAUGUGCUUGUUGUCUGAUAGAAAGAGGGCUUACCUUUCUCCUGAAGUUCAACAACAUCUAUGCUAGCAUCAAGGACAACAAUAGUUGGAAAAGCUUUAAUUCUCAAAGGUUGAUGUAUUCUACUCCGUCUCUCAUUCAAUUUCAAUUGUUGGUGAUGGAGCAAAUAAUGGUGGUGCACCUUAGCAGUAAAAGCGGCGGGAAGUAGCAUGGAGUGUUGAGAGACAACAGUGGUGACAACAUCGUUGAGCGGUGGCGCUGACCAGUGGAAGGUGGCUACAAGUGGGGUAGGUGAAGUUGUGGGCUGUGAGUUUUUCCUGCAUUUGAUCAUAUGAUAUUCUAAAUAAGUCUAUCAUAAAUGGCUCUAUUUAAGUCAUGCAGCUAACUUGUGUUCUGAUCCACUGUACAAUAUUUUUGCUUGGGAUCUUAAAGACAUACAAAUUAUGUCAAGAUUGUUGAUGUUUGAUCAAGGGUCAAGAUUUGUCCUCACAAGUGUAUGGUAUCAUCACCGUUUGAUCCUUGUUCGACAGGAUAGAUUUUGGAGGAUGAGUGCUUGUGCAAGCAUGUAUGUGUUGAGGGGAUCUUCUUUUUGGCUUUAAUCCUAAUUGUCCAUUAGAGAUCCAAUGGCUACAUAGAGGAGAGUUAUCAAGGUCAUUAGAUGAUGAUCUAAUGUCACUUGUACGUUGUCUUCAAGCUGUAAUUAAUAGAUUAAACUAGUUAAAUAAUCGAGCCAUUUUAGGUUUAAUUUAAAGGCUUUUUUAAAGCUUUGUCUGCUCAAGGAUUGAACAAGGAGAUGGAGCUAACGUCUGGAAAUGGCAAUGGUGGUAUACUUCACUGGGGCUCAAUGAUGAGGUAAACAUUCAUCCAUGUUGGCACUAGGCAGGUAUUUCAUGCUAGCAUAGGCAUCAGUGUCUAUGCCAAAAACAAAUGCAGGAAGAAGAAUUAUUGCUUAUACAGCGGAACUUUUUCUAUCAAGAGGAGCACACCAUCGCAAAAACUUUUAUUGCUUUGCUAAGUGCUGCAUAUGCCAGAAUCCUAUACCCAACAAACAUCAUAAUCAAAGCCAAAAUGCUCACCAUUAUACUGACCUGGCCUUCUACCUCAGCCUCUCUGCUGCUAAUCCUUUCAUGAUUAUGUGAUAAACCCUGCCAUUUCAUGCAGAUUGGAACUUUCUGCACAUAGAAUCCUCCAGUGAGAAGGAAAGCAAGCAUUGUUAUAGUAAUAAUUGUUGAUGCCUGCUUAGCAUUCAUGAUAACAGCUCCAAUUGCCAGCCCAAGUCCCUGCGCUACA